AUGCCAUGUCAACAUCCACGUUGUGAGCUGCUUCUCGGCACUCUAGCAGUUGCUCUUCGAGGAGCAGGUCCACUUCCCAGUCCAGCCACUCACAUCCUGGUCAUGAACUUCAAAACCAGCAAUAACCAAAUGCUAACUUAGUUCCAUUUCAUUCAGUUCAUUUUUCCUCUCUCUCUCUCUCUCUCUCUCUCUCUCUCUCUCUUUCAUCCUUC
rnacentral:lncRNA from 1 species